CCUACGGGUGGCAGCAGUCGAGAAUUUUUCUCAAUGGGGGAAACCCUGAAGGAGCGACGCCGCGUGGAGGAUGAAGGUUUUCGGAUUGUAAACUCCUGUCAUUUGGGAACUAGUACCAGAAGAGGAAGAGACGGCUAACUCUGUGCCAGCAGCCGCGGUAAUACAGAGGUCUCAACCGUUGUUCGGAUUCAUUGGGCGUAAAGGGUGCGUAGGCGGUCGCGCAAGUCGGAUGUGAAAUCUCAGGGCUCAACCCUGAAACUGCAUUCGAUACUGCGUGGCUAGAGUGCUGGAGAGGAGACUGGAAUUUACGGUGUAGCAGUGAAAUGCGUAGAUAUCGUAAGGAAGACCAGUGGCGAAGGCGAGUCUCUGGACAGACUGACGCUGAGGCACGAAGGCCAGGGGAGCAAACGGGAUUAGAUACCCUUGUAGUC
rnacentral:rRNA from 1 species